GCCCAGUUGGCCGAGCGGUUUAGGCACUCGACUCAAGAUCGAGGACGAAAGUCAAGACAGGUUCGACUCCUGUAUUGGGCAC
rnacentral:tRNA from 1 species